rnacentral:rRNA from 1 species
GACAGCAUCAAUGAUGUCAGCAGAUAAACGAGUCAUGGAGAGUUUGAUCCUGGCUCAGGACGAACGCUGGCGGCGUGCGUAAUACAUGCAAGUCGAGCGGACCUUCGGGUCAGCGGCGGACGGGUGAGGAACACGUGAGUCAUCGGGCUGUGAGUGGGGGAUAUCGGGCCGAAAGGCGCGGCAAUCCCGCAUACGUUCCGGGGAACCGGAAGAAAGCUUGGCAACAGGCGCUCACAGGGGAGCUCGCGGCCCAUUAGCUAGUUGGGGGGGUAACGGCCUCCCAAGGCGACGAUGGGUAGCCGGCCUGAGAGGGUGAACGGCCACACUGGGACUGAGACACGGCCCAGACUCCUACGGGAGGCAGCAGUAGGGAAUCUUCCACAAUGGGCGCAAGCCUGAUGGAGCAACGCCGCGUGAGUGAAGACGGCCUUCGGGUUGUAAAGCUCUGUCUGUCGGGACGAAGACCGGCCCGCGAGGGCCGGGGAGCCGGUACCGACGGAGGAAGCCCCUGCAAACUACGUGCCAGCAGCCGCGGUAAGACGUAGGGGGCAAGCGUUGUCCGGAAUUACUGGGCGUAAAGGGCGUGUAGGCGGUGCGAUACGUAGCGGUUUUAAGCCUCCGGCUCACCCGGAGGAGGGCGGCUAAACGGUCGCGCUGGAGGGCAGGAGAGGUGCGUGGAAUUCCUGGUGGAGCGGUGAAAUGCGUAGAGAUCAGGAAGAACACCCGUGGCGAAGGCGGCGCACUGGCCUGGCCCUGACGCUGAGGCGCGACAGCGUGGGGAGCGAACGGGAUUAGAUACCCCGGUAGUCCACGCCGUAAACGAUGGGUACUAGGUGUCGCCCGGGUCCACCGGGCGGUGCCGGAGCUAACGCACUAAGUACCCCGCCUGGGGAGUACGGCCGCAAGGUUGAAACUCAAAGGAAUUGACGGGGGCCCGCACAAGCAGUGGAGCAUGUGGUUUAAUUCGACGCAACGCGCAGAACCUUACCAGGACUGGACACGCGCGUGAGCGCCGCGAAAGCGGCGGGCCCUUCGGGGAGCGCGCGCAGGUGCUGCAUGGUUGUCGUCAGCUCGUGUCGUGAGAUGUUGGGUUAAGUCCCGCAACGAGCGCAACCCUUGUCGUGUGUUGCCAGCGGUGCGGCCGGGCACUCACACGAGACUGCCGGUGACAAACCGGAGGAAGGUGGGGAUGACGUCAAAUCCGCAUGGCCUUGAUGUUCUGGGCUACACACGUGCUACAAUGGUCCCGACAACGGGAUGCGACGGCGCGAGCCGGAGCCAAUCCUUCAAACGGGAUCUCAGUUCGGAUUGCAGGCUGCAACUCGCCUGCAUGAAGCCGGAAUUGCUAGUAAUCGCCCAUCAGCAUGGGGCGGUGAAUUCGUUCCCGGGCCUUGUACACACCGCCCGUCACACCACGAGAGUCGGCCACACCCGAAGCCGGGCGAUCCAACCGCAACCGCGGAGGGUCCCGUCGACGGUGGGGUCGGUGAUUGGGGUGAAGUCGUAACAAGGUAGCCGUAUCGGAAGGUGCGGCUGGAUCACCUCCUUU